UGUGGCUGAUGCUUGCAUUAACUAAACUAUCACAGGGUUCCUACAGUUUAAGGGAAAUUAGAUUUAAGACCCAUCUUCAAACUCAACCUUCAUUUCUCAAAUACAAUCCAGGUACACUCGUGAAUACUGGUGACAUAUGAUACUGGUAGUAUUAUUAACAAGCCAGAUGACACAGAGACUGUGUGGAGCAGGUGAAAGUGAAAGUAACUUUGUUAAGGCGUAUAUAUAUCUCAGAUAAGUCCCUGGACUCACAUUCUCCCUUCGACUUUCUUCCACUUCAACAACAGCCAUGGGAGUAAACAGCAGUUUGUUUGACUCUCCACCAUCUGGACCCACUCCAUUGUCUCGACUCGCUCUAUUUUUCAGAGAUCCAUGGAGGGAAAUGAACUGGAGAGACAAAGCGGGGGCUCUGCAGUAUGUGAAGGACUACAGACCUCAGACUGAAGGCCAGCAGCUCAGGAUUCUUCUUUAUGGACCGGUUGGAUCUGGAAAGUCCAGUUUCAUUAACUCUGUGGACAGUGUCUUACAAGGCAGAGUGUGCACAAGAGCUUUGGCUGAUAGCGCCUCUACUCGCAGUUUCACCA